GUCCAUCUUUGUCAUUUAAGGGAAAUAUUGAGGAUAUCAAAACACUUAGUUCAGAAGCUGUUGCCUGGCUACAGAGUUUACCUCUAUAAGUAGAUAGAGUUUACCUCAAUAAUCUAUGUACAUCCUUUGAAAAAAUAAAUAAACCUGAAUACUGUGCGCAUAGGAUAAUUGAAUAGGAUGACGAACUCGACGUCGUGACGUAAUAAUUAACAGGGACAAGUGGGGGCAUUCGUAUUGCGACGUUAAAAGUGAAAUUCUUAGCAGUGAAAGCGUUUAUCAAGUACGUCCCCUUUGAUCGAGAACGAAAGUUUAGACUGUUUAGAGUUUCGAAGGCGAUCAGAUACCGCCCUAGGUCUAAGCAUAAACGAUGUCAAGCAGAGAUCCGCAAACAUUAUUCUGAUGAUUUAGCGUUCAGAUUCCGAGAAACUAAAGCUUUUGGAU
rfam:Asian citrus Psyllid, Diaphorina citri - Florida Strain, whole genome shotgun sequence.